AAAAUAACAGAGACUAAAAUAACGAACUCUGAUAUUCGAGGAGAAACAAGCUGCUUAGGCUGAAAACCUACUGCUUGAACAAUGUUUGAAUGUUUGGGGAGAGGACCUAACUCAAAGUUUGUCACUUUCUUUAAGGCUCACCUGUCUUUUGCUGAAAAUUCAGAUUAUGGUGCUGGUGUUGCAAUAAUUUUUCAUUAAAGCCUGAUAGACAGCAAUUGACCUUGAAGAGGACAUAAAAAACAUGUUUAGUUUAUCAUAUUUUGUUUAGCUAGUUUAAGGCUUGACUAAAACGUAAAGGAAAAGCAAAAAAUGAGAAUUUCUUGAUUAAGUAAAGUUUACCUC